AACUGCAAUAUCAAUUUACAAAUUAGUCAGUACCAAAGACUCCGCAGCAUUGGACGGUUUGCAAAAUGAAAGCCUGCUUCACGUUUGUGAUUGUCUUGGUGGGGGUCCUACAAAUGGUAAAUUCUUGCUGCUUGUCGAAUUGUUGCCCAGAAGCAUCCGAUGGAAGGAGUUCAGCUGGAGUCAAACCAACACAGGAAGACGAUGAUGAACGAACUUUCCACUGGGGCUACUAUAACUAUGAGAACAUUAAUGGUCAAGUAGUGACGGACGUUCAAUAUGAAGGACAAGCACCACCUUGGAAUGGAUUUCCUUGGCAAGGAUAGCUGGGUUGGAUCUUUGGAGGACACAUUUCAUCCUAUCUUUCCUAGUACUAAUGAACCGCUCGAUAAAGGGGAUUGAAAUAAAUACUUACAUGUUUUGUAGCAAUAUUA